UACGUAGGCAGCAAGCGUUGUUCGGAGUUACUGGGCGUAAAGGGUGUGUAGGCGGUUCUUUAAGUUUGCUGUGAAAUCUCCCGGCUUAACCGGGAGGGUGCGGUGAAUACUGAGGGACUAGAGUACGGGAGAGGAAAGUGGAAUUCCUGGUGUAGCGGUGAAAUGCGUAGAUAUCAGGAGGAACACCGGUGGUGUAGACGGCUCACUGGACCGUAACUGACGCUGAGACACGAAAGCGUGGGUAGCAAACAGG
rnacentral:rRNA from 1 species